rnacentral:rRNA from 1 species
AUGGUGCCCCUACGCGUCUGCCACCGCCUCGUCCACCUGCGCGGCCUCCCCUCCUCGCUUCGGCUUCCUCUCCCCUCCACCAUGGCGGCGCCCCAACCCGGCUGCAAACCCCCUCGCCCCACCACCACUUCUUCGCCGUCUCCUGCCGGCCCGGCCACCAAGAGGUCCAGGACAAUGGCCACCGACGCGGCGACUUCUCCGGCCUCGGCGGGGUGCUCCGCGAUGAAGGCCGAGUUCACGGGCCACGCUGAGUACCUCAACGCGCUGAAUGAUAAAAGGGAAAGGCUUGUGAAAGCAAGUCGGGAUGUGACAAUGAACAGCAAAAAGGUCAUCUUUCAGGUCCACAGGAUCAGCAAAAAUAACAAGGAGGAAGUUCUUUCAAAGGCGGAAAAUGACCUUGCUGCUGUGGUUAACCAAUACAUUGGAAAGUUAGUAAAAGAACUACAAGGAACCGACUUCUGGAAGCUCAGAAGAGCCUAUACCCCUGGUGUACAAGAAUAUAUUGAAGCUGCAACAUUUUGUAGAUUUUGCAAGACUGGCACUUUAUUGGGUCUAGCUGAAAUUAAUGAUUCUUUGCUUGCUCUAAGUGAUAAAUCCAUUGAGCCCUUGCAGAUAAAUGUGCUUGACUAUCUUUUAGGGGUUGCUGAUUUGUCAGGAGAGCUAAUGAGGCUUGCAAUUGGACGUAUAUCUGAUGGGGAAGUUGAAUAUGCUAAAAAUAUAUGUGCAUUUGUACGUGACAUUUAUAGGGAGCUGACCCUUCUUGUGCCACUGAUGGAUGACAAUAAUGAGAUGAAGAAGAAAAUGGAGGUUAUGCUUCAAAGCGUAGUGAAAAUUGAGAAUGCUUGCUUCAGUGUUCAUGUGAGAGGAUCUGAAUACAUCGCUAUGCUGGGAUCAUCUGGCGAGUCAGACUAUGCCUUCUUCGGUGCCGCCGACUAUGACCAAUGA